rnacentral:rRNA from 1 species
GAUGAACGCUGGCGGCGUGCUUAACACAUGCAAGUCGAACGAUGAAGCCCAGCUUGCUGGGUGGAUUAGUGGCGAACGGGUGAGUAACACGUGAGUAACCUGCCCUUAACUCUGGGAUAAGCCUGGGAAACUGGGCCUAAUACCGGAUAGGAGCGUCCACCGCAGGGUGGGUGUUGGAAAGAUUUAUCGGUUUUGGCUGGACUCGCGGCCUAUCAGCUUGUUGGUGGGGUAAUGGCUCACCAAGGCGACGACGGGUAGCCGGCCUGAGAGGGUGACCGGCCACACUGGGACUGAGACACGGCCCAGACUCCUACGGGAGGCAGCAGUGGGGAAUAUUGCACAAUGGGCGCAAGCCUGAUGCAGCGACGCCGCGUGAGGGAUGACGGCCUUCGGGUUGUAAACCUCUUUCAGUAGGGAAGAAGCGAAAGUGACGGUACCUGCAGAAGAAGCACCGGCUAACUACGUG